rnacentral:rRNA from 1 species
AAAACUUUCAACAACGGAUCUCUUGGUUCUGGCAUCGAUGAAGAACGCAGCGAAAUGCGAUAAGUAAUGUGAAUUGCAGAAUUCAUUGAAUCAUCGAAUCUUUGAACGCACAUUGCGCCCCUUGGUAUUCCGGGGGGCAUGCCUGUUCGAGCGUCAUUA